UAUGGAGGGUGCGAGCGUUGUCCGGAAUCACUGGGCGUAAAGGGCGCGUAGGUGGCACGGGUAGUCGUCGGUGAAAGCUCAGGGCUCAACCCUGAGUCGGCCGGUGAUACUCCCGAGCUCGAGUGUGGUAGAGGCCAAUGGAAUUCCGGGUGUAGCGGUGGAAUGCGUAGAGAUCCGGAAGAACACCGGUGGCGAAGGCGGUUGGCUGGGCCACAACUGACACUGAUGCGCGAAAGCUAGGGGAGCGAACGGG
rnacentral:rRNA from 1 species